CGCUGGUGAUUAAUAUCUGUGAGCAGCACUGACCUAUGGCUGAGUGAAGAGGCAUAUAAGUAGGUAAAUUGGUGUAGGAUUUGUGAUGCCUUAUAACAGUGGCAGUAUAUUUAAAGUGUACAUGAGAUGCCAAGUGUGCAAUAGAUGUGGACCUGUGGACACCAGCAGAAGCUGCUAAAAGAGGCCUGACGGGGCAGGCCUGCCGCAUAGUUUGGAUUCAACCGGAAAGCUUGCGGCAACACCAGAGAAAGUGGCUGCUGUGAAGAGUACAGAUUGGUGUGGCAUUUGUGAUGCCACUCAACAAGUGGCAUUAUAUACUAAAGUAUACCUCCGAAGCCAAGUGCGCGUUAGGUCUGGCACAGCACCUGUGGACACCAACACAAGCUGGGGAAAGAAGCCCGACUGGGCAGGCCUGCCGGACUAUCUCUGGUGCAUCUGGGAAGCUUCUGGCAACACCAAAGAAAGUGGCUGCUGUGAAGAACUGCCUGGAGAAGUACAUCGGGGAACAUCCGAUGGGGCCACCAGCACCACCUCUAGAGCACCGCCUUGCUUCUGUAAGGAAGCACCUUUGGAGCUUCUUCACAGAAGCGGGCGCGAAGGCAAGCGAGUAUGGAAGACGUGAAUCGCCUUAACCUAUUGCAUUUUUUCAAUAAAGUGUGAAGAUAUGGAA